rnacentral:tRNA from 1 species
UGUUCUGUGGCGGAGUUGGUUAACGCGCCCUGUCUAGCGAACUUGGGGAGACGUAGUUUCAAACCCCACCAGAACGA